AUCAAUUGGAGGGCAAGUCUGGUGCCAGCAGCGGCGGUAAUUCCAGCUCCAAUAGCGUAUAAUAAAGUUGUUGCAGUUAAAAAGCUCGUAGUUGGACUUUAGCCAGUAGAACACACUGAGGCAUUGAGUUGUCAAGUGUGGGAGUUGGCGUUUUACCUUGAGGAAACUAGAGUGUUCAAGGCAGGCUAGGCUUGAAUACCGUAGCUGGGGAUAAUCUGGUUAAUAGGGACAGUUGGGGGCAUUGGUACUCAGCAGUCAGAGGUGAAAUUCUUGGAUUUGCUGAAGACCCACUAAUGCGAA
rnacentral:rRNA from 1 species